rnacentral:rRNA from 1 species
UACGGAGGGUGCAAGCGUUAUCCGGAUUUACUGGGUUUAAAGGGUGUGUAGGCGGACUUUUAAGUCAGCGGUGAAAUCUCCGGGCUCAACCCGGAAACUGCCAUUGAUACUAUUUGUCUUGAAUGUUGUUGAGGUGGGCGGAACGGGUCAUGUAGCGGUGAAAUGCAUAGAUAUGACGAGGAACACCGAUUGCGAAGGCAGCCCACUAAGCAACGAUUGACGCUGAGGCACGAAAGCGUGGGGAUCAAACAGG